GUGGGGAAUAUUGGACAAUGGGCGAAAGCCUGAUCCAGCCAUGCCGCGUGAGUGAUGAAGGCCUUAGGGUUGUAAAGCUCUUUCAGUAGGGAAGAUAAUGACGGUACCUACAGAAGAAGCCCCGGCUAACUUCGUGCCAGCAUCCGCGGUAAUACGAAGGGGGCUAGCGUUGUUCGGAUUUACUGGGCGUAAAGCGCACGUAGGCGGAUUGGUCAGUUAGAGGUGAAAUCCUGGAGCUAAACUCCAGAACUGCCUUUAAUACUGCCAGUCUAGAGUCCAGAAGAGGUGAGUGGAACUCCUAGUGUAGAGGUGGAAUUCGUAGAUAUUAGGAAGAACACCAGUGGCGAAGGCGGCUCACUGGUCUGGUACUGACGCUGAGGUGCGAAAGCGUGGGGAGCAAACAGGAUUAGAUACCCGAGUAGUCC
rnacentral:rRNA from 1 species